UUUUUCAUAGUGUAAAAAAUCUUAAAAAUGUUUUGCCUAUUUUUAGAGCAAAACCAAAUGAGAAUUGAAACAUGUCGAAAAGACAAUAUAACCGAGUUCAAUACUACAAUCCAAAGCAUCAUAUAAAGCAUUUUCAUCUGAUUCUGUAACUAGUACUAAGUCAUUGUUAUAGCUUUAUGACACUAAAAUCAUGGCAAUAACAGCUAUUCAUUAAGCGGUUUUCAUGCCUCAAAAUCUAACUGCUGUUGUCCAUGUACCUUGCACGCUUGGGUGCUGGGUAACAUGCCUCGUCUUUAGUUUUACCACCUUUCUUCCCAAUGAAUUCCUUAGCCUGGUCGCUUGCAGAAGUACUUCAUCUGGAGUCAAAUUCUUCACACAAACCACCCGCUCAUUUUUGUUCUCAUAAAAAGCCUUCAAAUAUGGAUGUUGCCCACGAUUGAGUUCAGUAAUCAACUCUAGCUGAGGAUUUCCUUCUUUAAAUGCUGGCAGUUGUGACUCCAUAAAUGCCCU
rnacentral:misc_RNA from 1 species